AUGCAAAGACUGCAUGGGGAUGUUGCUUGGAGAUCAUAUGACGAAUCUUUCAGAAAGUUUAGGGAGUCUUUGGCUGUAGAUUGGCAAAAACCUAUUGAAGAAUUAAGAGGUAAAUGUAUUGCCAUGUCCAACAUUUGCAGUGAAAAAUCUUACUAGUAUUAUUGAUUUUGUUGGUUUGAACCCUGCUCUAUACAAGGGUCACAGCUUCAGGAUAGGGGCAGACACUCAUGCAGCACAUUUGGGUUAUUCUGAAAACUGCAUUCAAUAAAUGGGAAGAUGAAAAUCUGAUGCUAUUUGCAGAUACACACGUUUGUCAAGCUUUACAUUUUGAAUAUGUAUAGCAAAUGCUAUGUAUAUAUAUUUUUCUUGUAAGAUUUUCACAGUUCAGAAGUUAACUGCUGUGUAUUAUAAUUGUAUCUGAUAUGCAUUGUUUGUGUUUUUAAUUCAAUGCAUAGAUUUGUUGUAUGUCAAAAUUCAGUUCUCAUCACAAUUCCCUAUCAUUUGUCUUAUAUUGGACAUUAUUCAAAGUGUGAUUCAUGUAUAACAUUUAUCUAUACUAUGUGCAUGAUGUGGUUACACAUAACAUAACACAGGUCAGAAGUAAACUGAUGUGUUUAUAUGCUGUAUAGUUUUUUUUUAACCAUUGUUUCUGUUGUUUGAUUUUGUCAUUUGAGUAACAUAUGUGCCUACUGGUUCAUCUGAAAAUGUUUGAUUACAUGUAUAUCUGUCUUUAAAACAUGUUUGAUAGUAUAACAAACUUUUAACAUGUAUAUUAUAUAGCGGCUGUUAUUUUAACACAGGGCAGAAGUCAACUGAUGUGUUUAUACUUGCAAGGUAAUUAAAAAUAAGAUGUUCCUAGUGGUAUUCAAACUGGUUUGGUUAAUCUGUGCCUUCAUGAUAUAUUAAUAUCUAUAUCUCUAUAUAAGGCAGGGGUUAGUCAUUGCCAUAUGUGUUGUAUGUACUGCCAUAUUUCAUUUUGUUGACUACCAUGAUCUGGCUAGUCCACUUUGUGUGGGGUCUUUUUGUGCAAACCUGCUGUUUGCUUUUGGUGGCUGUUUUUGUUCAACAAUAUUUUUGUUGCAUGUAUAUUUGGUACAUGUUAUAAUGUAUACAUCUUUGUUUAAUAUGGGGGAGGUCAUUUGUUCACCUUUUAUAACUUACAUUCAAUGUCUGGUAAUGGAUAUUAUGACUGUUUGAAGACCUCCCCUUAUUGCCUAAUUUUUCUUAUUAGCAAAAAUAAAUGGCAGUACAUACACACAACCAAGUUUUAUAUUUUUCUAUCAAUCCUAGACAUAUCAACAAUAUUACAUAAA
rnacentral:misc_RNA from 1 species